UCUGUGUCAAGGUCUUACUGUGAGCUUAGCUAGAGAGGCACCAUGGCUUUUGCUGCGUGGAAGUAUUUAAAAACAUUGAAAUAUUUUAGAGAUGUAACCUAUCUACGUAAAGGUUUUAUGGAUGAAUAAUGUGAAGUUGAAAUUGCGAGACAAAGUGGGAAGAAAAUCAUGGCCAACAAGCUGCAGUUUGAUCAUCUGAAAAAUGAGAAUGGGGAAAUGAGACAGAUGGAGAACAAACAGAAAGACCCAAAAUCCAAUUUAUCAAAAGAAACAAAAACAGUAAAACGUGUUAGAUGGAACAGCAUGGAGAUGACACCAUUUUUUCGUAAUUGAGCUGUGGGUCUCAAGGUCCAGAAUGAGAAAACAACAGGACUUUCCCAUAUGUGACAUCGGUUCAUCUCCAUCUCAAGCAACUUUUUUUGCUCCGUGAAGCAUUUUGUUUCCUUCAUGGCUGCACAUUUGGAGCUGCUCCUUUGUUCCUGUAUACAAAGCAUGCACACGUAAUUAUUUUAUUUUUUAAAGUCAUGUUUGAAUAACUGUUGCCCAUACAAUGUUUUAGGGCAGCAUGCUGGCUCAGUGGGUAUAGCACUGUUGCCUUUACAGCAAGAAGUUCCCCUUUUUGUGUGGAGUUUGCAUGUUCAACCUGUGUCUAAGCAGUUUCUACCAAGUGCUCGGGUUUCACCCACAAUCUAAAGACAUGCAUCAGAAUAAGCAUUAUUUUUUUCUUUUUAUCUCACUGUAUUUCUAUUUAUAGCACUUUAUCACCUGCACUUGUAACACUUGCAUCUUUGCAUCUAGUGCUCAGAAAUAUUGUUUUUAUGAAGUAUUUUUUUUAGGUGUUUUCUUAUCUUAAAUGUGUGGCAAACAGCUCGUUCAGAUUGUUUAUUAUUAGCAUUGUUUUAAAUAUAUCAUAUGGCUACAUCAUCUUACUGAUUUUCAAUUUCAGAAUAUAAAUACAAUGAUAGUUACUUGAGCUUAAUGUAUUCUAUUGUAUUCACCCUAAAUGUCUGUUUACAAAGUAUCUAAACACCUUUUUUGGAAAAUAUUUCGGCAGUCAAUACUGUUACAUGUGUAUAUGUUUUUAUUUCUCAGUGUUAAAGUAUUUUUAAAAGUUUUUUUCACAGUAAGCUUCAGCUCAGAUUGAAUUUGACAAUUUUAUUAUUGUUCUCUUAGAAAAACAAAAACAAACAAGUAACUGUGUAAAGAUAACAGUUGCAUUUCAAAAUCUGACACUUAAAAACAUGUUGCAUGUUGCCAGCAUCUGUCAGUGCAAAACAUAAACUGCCAAUGAUUUUCUUACAAUUUUCUGCCUUCUGUAAAGCAUCUCUCUUCUUCAAACUGUUGCUUUUUGGGUUAAUGCGAAUAGUUUAUGUAAAAUCAUUUAAAUGUAUUGUUUGUUUUUUUUUAGAUUAAAAUAUACUUUCUCCAUUGAUUGACACUUUUGAAAAGUAAAGA